rnacentral:rRNA from 1 species
GACGAACGCUGGCGGCGUGCUUAACACAUGCAAGUCGAACGGAAAGGCCCUGCUUUUGUGGGGUGCUCGAGUGGCGAACGGGUGAGUAACACGUGAGUAACCUGCCCUUGACUUUGGGAUAACUUCAGGAAACUGGGGCUAAUCCCGGAUAGGAGCUCCUGCUGCAUGGUGGGGGUUGGAAAUUUUCGGCGGUUGGGGAUGGACUCGCGGCUUAUCAGCUUGUUGGUGGGGUAGUGGCUUACCAAGGCUUUGACGGGUAGCCGGCCUGAGAGGGUGACCGGCCACAAUGGGACUGAGAUACGGCCCAGACUCCUACGGGAGGCAGCAGUGGGGAAUAUUGCACAAUGGGCGGAAGCCUGAUGCAGCAACGCCGCGUGCGGGAUGACGGCCUUCGGGUUGUAAACCGCUUUAGCCUGUGACGAAGCGUGAGUGACGGUAAUGGGUAAAGAAGCACCGGCUAACUACGUG